UAUUAUUAAUGAUAUUAAAUUAUACUGGGGUAGUAAUAAAUGUUUUUGAAACUCAAAGAAUUUGGCGGUAUUUUAGUCUUUUCAGGGGAACUUGUUUUUUAAUUGAUAAUACACGAUUUGUUUAACUUAAUUAUGUUAUCAGUUUGUAUACCGCCGUCAUAAGAUUAUUUUUAUUUUGAGAAUUAAAUUUUCUUAUAUUUAUAUUAGAGGAUAUGUCAGGUCAAGGUGCAGUUUAUGAUUAAGGUAUAAAUGAGUUACAAUAGUUUUAAUUUAUUAUGGAUAAUUAUUGUAAGUUUAAUUUGAAGGUGAAUUUGAUUGUAAAUUUAUUUUUAAUUUUUUUGUUGAUUGAGGCUCUAAAAUGUGUACAUAUCGCCCGUCGCUCUCGUAAUUAUAUAUGAG
rnacentral:rRNA from 1 species